CGACCACGGAGGCGGGGAUCACCCGGUCCCAUCCCGAACCCGGCAGUUAAGCCCGCCAUCGCCGAGAGUACUGCGGGGCCAGCCCGCGGGAGGCCAGGACGUCGC
rnacentral:rRNA from 1 species